rnacentral:rRNA from 1 species
UGCAAGCGUUAAUCGGAAUUACUGGGCGUAAAGCGUGCGUAGGUGGUUUGUUAAGUUAGAUGUGAAAGCCCUGGGCUCAACCUAGGAACUGCAUUUAAAACUGGCAAACUAGAGUAUAGGAGAGGAAAGUGGAAUUUCAGGUGUAGCGGUGAAAUGCGUAGAUAUCUGAAGGAACAUCAAUGGCGAAGGCAGCUUUCUGGACUAAUACUGACACUGAGGUACGAAAGCGUGGGUAGCAAACAGGAUUAGAUACCCUGGUAGUCCACGCCGUAAACGAUGACAACUAGCCGUUGGGAGGGUUUACCUCUUAGUGGCGAAGCUAACGCGUUAAGUUGUCCGCCUGGGGAGUACGGCCGCAAGGUUAAAACUCAAAGGAAUUGACGGGGACCCGCACAAGCGGUGGAGCAUGUGGUUUAAUUCGAUGCAACGCGAAGAACCUUACCUGGUCUUGACAUACACGGAACUUUCCAGAGAUGGAUUGGUGCCUUCGGGAACCGUGAUACAGGUGCUGCAUGGCUGUCGUCAGCUCGUGUCGUGAGAUGUUGGGUUAAGUCCCGUAACGAGCGCAACCCUUAUCCUUAUUUGCCAGCACAUCAUGGUGGGAACUAUAAGGAGACUGCCGGUGAUAAACCGGAGGAAGGCGGGGACGACGUCAAGUCAUCAUGGCCCUUACGACCAGGGCUACACACGUGCUACAAUGGGAAGGACAAAGGGU